UAUGAAGAACGUAGCGAAAUGCGAUACGUAAUGUGAAUUGCAGAAUUCAGUGAAUCAUCGAAUCUUUGAACGCAUAUUGCGCUCUCUGGUAUUCCGGAGAGCAUGCUUGUUUGAGUAUCAGUAAACACCUCAACUCCCUUUCUUCUUGAAAUGGAGCUGGACUUGAGUGAUCCCAACGCUUUAUUCAUAAAGUGGCGGGUUACUUGAAAUGCAGGUGCAGCUGGACUUUUCUCUGAGCUAUAAGCAUAUCUAUUUAGUCUGCCUCAAAACAGAUUAUUACCUUUGCUGCAGCUAACAUAAAGGAGAUUAGUUCUUGUGCUGACUGAUGCAGGAUUCACAAAGACCGCUUCGGCUGUCUUUGUAAACUCGAUCUCAAAUCAAGUAAGACUACCCGCUGAACUUAAGCAUAUCAAUAAGCGGAGGA
rnacentral:misc_RNA from 1 species